UUCGUAGGCGGUGCGGCUAGUCGGAAGUGAAAUCUCUGGGCUUAACUCAGAGGCUGCUUCCGAAACUGCCGUGCUCGAGUGCGGGAGAGGCGAGUGGAAUUGCAGGUGUAGCGGUGAAAUGCGUAGAUAUCUGCAGGAACACCCGUGGCGAAGGCGGCUCGCUGGACCGCAACUGACGCUGAGGAACGAAGCUAGGGGAGCAAACAGGAUUAGAUACCCUGGUAGUCCUAGCCCUAAACCAUCAGGACUUGGGGUGUUCCGCGUACGCGGAUCGUCCCGGAGCUAACGCGUUAAGUCCUGCGCCUGGGGAGUACGGUCGCAAGGCUGAA
rnacentral:rRNA from 1 species